rnacentral:tRNA from 1 species
GUGGGCGUAGCUCAGUUGGUUAGAGCGCCUGACUGUGGCUCAGGAGGUCGCCGGUUCAAAUCCGGUCGCUCACC